UGGAAGUAAAAAUCGUAACAAGGUCUCCGUUGGUGAACCAGCGGAGGGAUCAUUACCGAGUUUACAACUCCCAAACCCAAUGUGAACGUUACCAAACUGUUGCCUCGGCGGGGUCACGCCCCGGGUGCGUCGCAGCCCCGGAACCAGGCGCCCGCCGGAGGAACCAACCAAACUCUUUCUGUAGUCCCCUCGCGGACGUAUUUCUUACAGCUCUGAGCAAAAAUUCAAAAUGAAUCAAAACUUUCAACAACGGAUCUCUUGGUUCUGGCAUCGAUGAAGAACGCAGCGAAAUGCGAUAAGUAAUGUGAAUUGCAGAAUUCAGUGAAUCAUCGAAUCUUUGAACGCACAUUGCGCCCGCCAGUAUUCUGGCGGGCAUGCCUGUCCGAGCGUCAUUUCAACCCUCGAACCCCUCCGGGGGAUCGGCGUUGGGGAUCGGGACCCCUCACACGGGUGCCGGCCCCUAAAUACAGUGGCGGUCUCGCCGCAGCCUCUCCUGCGCAGUAGUUUGCACAACUCGCACCGGGAGCGCGGCGCGUCCACGUCCGUAAAACACCCAACUUUCUGAAAUGUUGACCUCGGAUCAGGUAGGAAUACCCGCUGAACUUAAGCAUAUCAAUAGGGCGGAGGAA
rnacentral:rRNA from 1 species